GUGAGGAAUAUUGGUCAAUGGGCGGGAGCCUGAACCAGCCAAGUCGCGUGAAGGAAGAAGGAUCUAUGGUUCGUAAACUUCUUUUGCAGGGGAAUAAAGUGCAGGACGUGUCCUGUUUUGUAUGUACCCUGAGAAUAAGGAUCGGCUAACUCCGUGCCAGCAGCCGCGGUAAUACGGAGGAUCCGAGCGUUAUCCGGAUUUAUUGGGUUUAAAGGGUGCGUAGGUGGUUUGAUAAGUCAGCGGUGAAAGAUUGCAGCUUAACUGUAAAAAUGCCGUUGAAACUGUCGGACUUGAGUGUAAAUGAGGUAGGCGGAAUGCGUUGUGUAGCGGUGAAAUGCAUAGAUAUCACGCAGAACUCCGAUUGCGAAGGCAGCUUACUAAGCUACAACUGACACUGAAGCACGAAAGAGUGGGGAUCAAACAGGAUUAGAUACCCCGGUAGUCC
rnacentral:rRNA from 1 species